ACGGCGUGUUCCGAAAAGCCGAAUGGUAAACAGAGUAGGAA
rnacentral:ncRNA from 1 species